CAUGCCGUAAACGAUGAAUGCUAAGUGUUAGGGGGUUUCCGCCCCUUAGUGCUGCAGCUAACGCAUUAAGCACUCCGCCUGGGGAGUACGACCGCAAGGUUGAAACUCAAAGGAAUUGACGGGGGCCCGCACAAGCGGUGGAGCAUGUGGUUUAAUUCGAAGCAACGCGAAGAACCUUACCAGGUCUUGACAUCCCAGUGAUCGCUCUAGAGAUAGAGUUUUCCCUUCGGGGACAUUGGUGACAGGUGG
rnacentral:rRNA from 1 species